AGUUACGGAACUUCGAGUGAUUAGGACGUGUGGUUGCCGAUUUCCUGUGUUCUAUUCUUACUGAUUCUUCUUCUCGAGCUUUUUUAACUGAAAAGACUGUUAAUAUUAACAUAGUCAGUGUACUUCGUGGCUUCAUGGUCAGUCCAAAGCCGAAGAGAGA
rnacentral:lncRNA from 1 species